AUUGAACGCUGGCGGCAGGCCUAACACAUGCAAGUCGGACGAGUGGCGGACGGGUGAGUAAUGUCUGGGAAACUGCCUGAUGGAGGGGGAUAACUACUGGAAACGGUAGCUAAUACCGCAUACCAUCAGAUGAUCCCAGAUGGGAUUAGCUAGUAGGUGGGGUAAAGGCUGACAUGGGCGACGAUCCCUAGCUGGUCUGAGAGGAUGAUCAGCCACACUGGGACUGAGACACGGUCCAGACUCCGACGGGAGGCAGCAGUGGGGAAUAUUGCACAAUGGGCGAAAGCCUGAUGCAGCAAUGCCGCGUGUAUGAAGAAGGCCGUCGGGUUGUAAAGUACUUUCAGCGGGGAGGCGUUACCCGCAGAAGAAGCACCGGCGAACUCCGUGCCAGCAGCCGCGGUAAUAC
rnacentral:rRNA from 1 species